rnacentral:misc_RNA from 1 species
GUGAAUCAUCGAAUUUUUGAACGCAAAUUGCACUCUCCGCUAUGGGUAUGACUGUUUCAGGUUCAGCCUAUAAAAAUCUACAUCGUUGCUUUUUCGCGGUGGCGUUCGUCUGUAAUUGGGUCAUCUUAAGUCCUUUUUAUUUAAGCGACUUAGAAUUUUCUUUUUAUUCUAUGAAUGUUUCUAAGAUCUAUUUCUUUACACGGUUAAUGUAUCGAUUUUUACUAGACGGUACUAUCAUAUCGGA